rnacentral:rRNA from 1 species
AGAGUUUGAUCCUGGCUCAGAACGAACGCUGGCGGUGUGCUUAACACAUGCAAGUCGAACGAGAAAGUUUCCUUCGGGAAGCGAGUAAAGUGGCGCAAGGGUGAGUAACACGUGAAUAAUCUACCCCCGAGACUGGGAUAACCUGGUGAAAACUAGGCUAAUACCGGAUAAGACCACGUCCCGCAAGGGAUGCGGAAAAAGGAGGCUCAACCUCCACUUGUGGAUGAGUUCGCGGACCAUUAGCUUGUUGGUGAGAUAACAGCUCACCAAGGCUACGAUGGAUAGCCGGCCUGAGAGGGUGAACGGCCACACUGGAACUGAGACACGGUCCAGACUCCUACGGGAGGCAGCAGUGGGGAAUAUUGCGCAAUGGGCGAAAGCCUGACGCAGCAACACCGCGUGAGCGAUGAAGGCCUUAGGGUUGUAAAGCUCUGUCGAAUGGGAAGAAUUCUGACGGUACCAUUAGAGGAAGCCCCGGCUAACUCCGUGCCAGCAGCCGCGGUAAUACGGAGGGGGCAAGCGUUGUUCGGAAUUAUUGGGCGUAAAGCGUAUGUAGGCGGCCGAGUAAGUCAGGCGUGUAAGCCCGUGGCUCAACCACGGAAUUGCGUCUGAAACUACUCGGCUUGAGUGCAGAAGAGGAAAGCGGAAUUCCCAGUGUAGCGGUGAAAUGCAUUGAUAUUGGGAAGAACAUCUGUGGCGAAGGCGGCUUUCUGGUCUGUUACUGACGCUGAGAUACGAAAGCCAGGGUAGCGAACGGGAUUAGAUACCCCGGUAGUCCUGGCUGUAAACGAUGGGCACUAGGUGCAGGGGGUAUCGAUCCCCUCUGUGCCGCAGCUAACGCAUUAAGUGCCCCGCCUGGGGAGUAC